rnacentral:rRNA from 1 species
AUUGAACGCUGGCGGUAUGCUUAACACAUGCAAGUCGAACGGCAGCAUGAUCUGUAGCAAUACAGAUUGAUGGCGAGUGGCGGACGGGUGAGUAACACGUAGGAAUCUACCCUAAAGCGGGGGACAACCCGAGGAAACUCGGGCUAAUACCGCAUAAGUUCUGAGGAACAAAGCUGGGGCAACCUGGCACUUUAGGAGGAGCCUGCGUCUGAUUAGCUAGUUGGUGGGGUAAAAGCUCACCAAGGCGACGAUCAGUAGGUGGUCUGAGAGGAUGAUCACCCACACUGGGACUGAGACACGGCCCAGACUCCUACGGGAGGCAGCAGUGGGGAAUAUUGGACAAUGGGGGCAACCCUGAUCCAGCAAUACCGCGUGUGUGAAGAAGGCCUUCGGGUUGUAAAGCACUUUAGGCGGGGAAGAAGGUUAUUAGUUUAAGAGAUGAAUAACUUGACGGUACCCGCAGAAUAAGCACCGGCUAACUCUGUGCCAGCCGCCGCCGUAACAC